AUGAGAGGAGGUAAUCCCUCAUUUUACUAUUUAGUAGAUUUGUGCUCUCCUAUGAUAGGCUGCUGGGCAGAAUAUGAAACCCCAGAGAUAUAAAAAGAUCUUUGUUGCCCGAUGAAUAUGGAACCUUUAAGGAAAAAGGAAGAGGGCUCUGGAUUAAAAAAGGCUGCUUGUAUACAAACAUGCACUUCCUCACCGUGAUCCUGAUAUAUUCAUAUCUACAGCCAAACCCACGUUCUAGUCCUUAUCCUUCUGUGUUGACUUGAGAUGACGUCCUGUGGCUUAUGCAUUCAGAAAGCAGAUAAGUGUGUAGUUUACAGUGACCUAAAAAAACUAAGCUUGGCAUUUUCUAUUUACUUCCAAGGCUUGUACCAUCUCUGGGUCUUGGCAGGAGAGGAGGAGAAAGGAAAAGUGCAGAGAAACUCAAUAAAUAAACCCUGGGCUGAAAUCUAGAGAUGCUUUUAUAAAAAGUGAGCUGGCAUGAGCAGCUUACUGGAUAAUCACCAGGUCAGGGAAGGGAACAGGGCUGCCCAAGGAGACCCACCAGGAAGGAAUUCAACUCAGCAGCUGGAGAAGGACCCUGGGGAUGUUGUAUCUGAGUGCAAGGGAGCAUCCCAGCGGUCGUCAGGCUCUGCUGAAGGACCUGCAGCCAGCUCUGCUUUCAUGCUCUAGUGGGCAGAAAGCAGGGUACAAGCCCCUCCUGUGGCUGUGGCCUCCUGCUUGCACCACACAGCUGUUUCAGGCAGGCAGAGGUGCUGGGCUUUCACUCUCUCCACUGCUUGAGGAGUUCUGCUUGCUUUGAAAUACCAUCUCCCACUUUCCCCACAGAGGUUUGGAGCUACUGGGAAAUUCCUGCACUGGCUCACCCCUGCCACCAGAAUGCAAAAUUAACCUCAAGCAACCUCCAGCAAUGGAAAAUUCUCCUGCAGCUCUGUGGUACCGUGGAUGCUGCUCAGUUGCCAUUUGAAAUGCUGGAAUGCUGAAGGUUCCUUCAGGAAGGACAAAGGCUGGCAAUUCACUAUUUCUUCCUGUCCUAAUAGAAGGUUUGUGUGGUGAACCUUUCCCAGCCCAUCCUGGCGCUAUUGCAGUGAGCUGGAGGGCAGCUGGUAACCGGGAUUUUUCUGAAGCAAGCCUGGUUGUUUGCAUUGCUGCUGCCCCUGCCCGUGAGUGUGUAAGAGGAGACAGGGAAGGUGAUUAUCCAUCACGGGCUAUUCUCUCCUCUUGCCGUGAAGUGAAUGAGAAGUGCUGUUUCUGAGAGAGCCUAUUCGUGUUUUUAUGCAAUAAGUCAUGGUGCUGAAAUAGCAUCUCUCCUGGCAAAAUACCCCACAGCCAGUGCCGCGCAUGCUGCGUUUCACUGACUCUUUCAGGGCUCAGCUAAGAGACUUGAGUUUGGAAAGUAUCUGACAGCCUGGAGUUAAUUCUAGAUAAAGGAACUUGAAACCAUUUCCUUUCUUGUCAGUGAUGACAGUGAAACUGUAAUUAAAGUGGAAAAGAAUUCUCUAUGAGGUCUGUGGGUCAUGAGGAUAUACAAUGAAAUAUUUCCUGCAGAACAAAAAGUAGUAAACCUGCCCACAGAUGUAAGCCUAGUGCUGCUCUGGAUAUGGGUAAUUUAAUAUUCAGCAGAUGAGUCUGAACACCUGUCAUCUUAAUAAUUUAACAUUUAGAUACCCAUGAUAAAUCUGAUGAUAAAAUCAUGUAGGUGUAUACACUACGGUGCGUCCUCUAAUUCAGGAAUAAAAGUACUUUAGUAGAACAUGCAGGACAUCCUUCAAGGCUCACAGAUCCCUCCGAAUUUACUUUCUGCCUAUAAACAGAGGAAACGGGAGGGGUCCUCGUAAAUCAAUGCUAAAUUGCUAGUGUUAACUGGGGAAUGAUCAGUAAUUCACCUGAUGUUCAGAAAGGGACACUCACGUACUAAUUAGACCUUUGAGACUUCGGGUGGUACCCUUAAAGUCAUCACAGAGGGCAAUCAGCACUACCAAAACAACCCAGAUUAGGAAAAGUGCUGUUGAUUUAAGUAGUUUCAGUAGUUCAGUACCAGCUGGGGAUUUAGAGUGGCAAAAACUACCCCACCCAUCAACUUAACUCGCCAUGCUUGAGAGUUUUAAAGGGGACUGGUGAGCAGUACUCUGACACUUCCUUCAAAAAAUGAAGUUAACACUUUUUAAAGUGGGAAUUAAUGCUUUCCCAUUAUCCCAGACACGGAGCUGACAAACCCUGGGCAAGCAUCGGCACAAACCUGUCAGCUAGGGGCUGUCUCUGGCAGAGCAACCUAAGGGAGAGGAAGGUGAUGGGGGAUCAUCGAGAAGCGUUUUGGGGUGUGGACAGUUUAAAAAAGAAGCCCCUUUUUGCCUGGCAUCUGCUUUUCUUAAAAAGCUUUUUCUUGGCUGUGAUUUGUCUUUAGUUUGGCACUUACUACCGCUUUCUAUUUCAAGUAGAAAAUGCUGAAAUUGAUCCAUAGCAGAUAAAAGCUAAUUGCUGCAAGAAUAUUUGAGUUAACGGUCUCCUCAGAUGUUGUCUAUUAAAUUCAAAUGUAUAAUUCAUAUGCCAAUAUUGGAGGAAAAAAAGGUAGAAUAAAAUAUUCAAAUUAU